GUAAGUCAAGGCCCCACUGUGUGUAUGUAUGUGUAUGUGUGUGUGUGUGUGUGUGUGUGUGUGUGUGUGUGUAUACACACACACACAUUGGCUAUAUAUAUUAAACAGAAAAA
rnacentral:miRNA from 1 species